rnacentral:rRNA from 1 species
CCAUCCUUGAAAGACCACCCUUUAACGUUUGAUGUUCUAACCCGGGUCCAUAAUCUGGAUCGGGGACCGUGUCUGGUGGGUAGUUAGACUGGGGCGGUCUCCUCCCAAAGAGGAACGGAGGAGCACGAAGGUUGGCUAAGCAUGGUCGGACAUCAUGCUGUUAGUGCAAAGCAAUAAGCCAGCUUGACUGCGAAAGUCACGGCUCGAUCAGGUACGAAAGUAGUGCUUAGUGAUCCGGGGGUUCUGAAUGGAAAGGCCAUCGCCCAACGGAUAAAAGGUACCCCGGCGAUAACAGGCUGAUACCGCCCAAUACUUCAUAUCGACGGCGUUGUUUUGCACCUCCAUAUCGACUCAUCACAUCCUGGGACUGACGUAGGUUCCAAGGGUAUGGCUUUUCGCCAUUUAAUGUUGUACGCCAUCUUGGUUUUGAACGUCGUGGAACUGUUCAGUUCAUAUCU